AUUGAACGCUGGCGGCAGGCCUAACACAUGCAAGUCGAGCGGAGCGGCGGACGGGUGAGUAAUGCCUAGGAAUCUGCCUGGUCGUGGGGGAUAACGUCCGGAAACGGGCGAUAAUACCGCAUACUAUCAGAUGAGACUAGGUCGGAUUAGCUAGUUGGUGGGGUAAAGGCCUACCAAGGCGACGAUCCGUACCUGGUCGGAGAGGAGGAUCAGUCACGCUGGAACUGAUACAGGGGCCGGCCUCGUGCGGGAGGCAGCAGUGGGGAAUAUUGGACAAGGGGCGAAAGCCGAAUCCAGCCAUGCCGCGUGUGUGAAGAAGGUCUUCGGAUUGAAAAUCACUUUAAGUUGGGAGGCGUUACCAACAGAAAAAGCACCGGCUAACUUCGUGCCAGCAGCCGCGGUAAUUC
rnacentral:rRNA from 1 species